UACGGAGGGUGCAAGCGUUAAUCGGAAUUACUGGGCGUAAAGGGUGCGUAGGUGGUUAGAUAAGUUAUCUGUAAAAUCCCUGGGCUUAACCUGGGCAGGUCAGAUAAGACUGUUUAACUCGAGUAUGGGAGAGGGUAGUGGAAUUUCCUGUGUAGCGGUGAAAUGCGUAGAUAUAGGAAGGAACACCAGUGGCGAAGGCGACUACCUGGACUGAUACUGACACUGAGGUGCGAAAGCGUGGGGAGCGAACAGGAUUAGAUA
rnacentral:rRNA from 1 species